rnacentral:rRNA from 1 species
GACGAACGCUGGCGGCGUGCUUAACACAUGCAAGUCGAACGGAAAGGCCCUGCUUUUGUGGGGUGCUCGAGUGGCGAACGGGUGAGUAACACGUGAGUAACCUGCCCUUGACUUUGGGAUAACUUCAGGAAACUGGGGCUAAUACCGUAUAGGAUCUCCUGCUGCAUGGUGGGGGUUGGAAAGUUUCGGCGGUUGGGGAUGGACUCGCGGCUUAUCAGCUUGUUGGUGGGGUAGUGGCUUACCAAGGCUUUGACGGGUAGCCGGCCUGAGAGGGUGACCGGCCACAUUGGGACUGAGAUACGGCGCAGACUGCUACGGGAGGCAGCAGUGGGGAAUAUUGCACAAUGGGCGGAAGCCUGAUGCAGCAACGCCGCGUGCGGGAUGACGGCCUUCGGGUUGUAAACCGCUUUCGCCUGUGACGAAGCGUGAGUGACGGUAAUGGGUAAAGAAGCACCGGCUAACUACGUG